UACGUAGGGUGCGAGCGUUGUCCGGAAUUAUUGGGCGUAAAGAGCUCGUAGGCGGUUUGUCGCGUCGACUGUGAAAACUGGGGGCUUAACUCUCAGCUUGCAGUUGAUACGGGCAGACUUGAGUUCGGUAGGGGAGACUGGAAUUCCUGGUGUAGCGGUGAAAUGCGCAGAUAUCAGGAGGAACACCGAUGGCGAAGGCAGGUCUCUGGGCAUUAACUGACGCUGAGGAGCGAAAGCAUGGGGAGCGAACAGG
rnacentral:rRNA from 1 species